AGCUGUUACCAUCCGUUAGCUGCUUCUGACGGGAGUGGGGUGGGUGGGAAGUUAUGUUCUGGUUCUGGGGAUAGUGAGGAAGGAGAGGGCAUAAGAGGAACGAAUGCCAGUAUUUUUCAGCAGAAAUGACUGCCACGCCACUGAAGCCUUGUUUAUAAGAAAGUGCAGGGAGAGGCAGGUUAGAUGGAAGCGCCCCUGCGCAGCCCGGCCCCUAGGCCUGUUACUGUGCUGCCUGGAGGCGUCAGCACACCCCUGAUGAUCCCCACGAGAAACCUCUGCAAGCCAAGGAGACUGAGCAAUAUUAAUCCUCUUCCCUGAGUUGAAAAGAGGAGCAAAACAUUCAUUGCUUACUCCUGAAAUAAGGUCUUCCCUGGACCUCCCUCAAUAAAGACACACAUUCAGGUUCAGAACCUUUGGAUGUGGGCUACUGGAAUUAUCGGGAUCAUUUUCUGUUGCUGACUGCACUUGGAGGUCCUCCCAUGAAUGCAAAUCAGCUUUUAUUGAUAAAGCCAGGAACUAUUUGCCUUCGUUUUCUACACAUUUGUGAAAGCUGCUUUCUUGCACUUCCGCAGUUCAAAUCCUCCCUGCACUCUGAAGCAGUGUGUGUCCCUGAUGUCAGCAGUGGAGCAACCCACAAACCACCCUAGCAUUUGGAUGCGGUCGCAUUUUCUUUUGAGGAUAUAGACCAAGAGCUAUGAAGUAUUUCCCUGGGUCUGAGCAGCGUUCAAAGAGUAGAUUUCCAGGGCUAUGUGCACCUGCCAGCGCUGACCACUGGACCAUGAGUGCCCGGGGCAGCCAAGUGUUCUUUAAUACAUAUGUUCAUGGGGGUAGGGUGUGAGAUGCUGAGCCCUCCAAAGUGAGGGUCUGGGCAGGGGUGCCACAAGGAACUCUCUGGAGGUGGUGGGAGGGAAAUAUUCCAUUUCUUUUUUCUUUCUUUUUUUUUUCUGAGAUGACAUCUUGCUCUGUUG